rnacentral:rRNA from 1 species
GACGAACGCUGGCGGCGUGCCUAAUACAUGCAAGUCGAGCGAUGAAGCUUGGUGCUUGCACCUAUUUGAAGAGCAGCGAACGGGUGAGUAACGCGUGGGGAAUCUGCCUUUGAGCGGGGGACAACAUUUGGAAACGAAUGCUAAUACCGCAUAACAACUUUAAACAUAUGUUUUAAGUUUGAAAGAUGCAAUUGCUUUACUCAAAGAUGAUCCCGCGUUGUAUUAGCUAGUUGGUGAGGUAAAGGCUCACCAAGGCGAAGAUACAUAGCCGACCUGAGAGGGUGGACGGCCACAAUGGGACUUAGACACGGCCCAAACUCCUACGGGGAGGAACAAGAAGGAAUCUUCGGCAAUGGACGAAAGUCUGACCGAACAACGCCGCGGGGGGGAAGAAAGUUUUCGGAUCGGAAAACUCUGUUUAUAGAGAAAGACGUUAGUGGGAGUUAAAAGCGCAUCAAGUGACGGUAACUACCCAGAAAGCGACGGCUAACUACGUG